UCGACGGCCACGUCCCUCGAUACACGGUGUUAUACCGGCGAUACACGAGCGUGGAACAUCGUGGAGGAUCCUCGUUCGGCAAACGCGUGUGUGGGGGAUGGGUAGGACGUCGAGAUUUCUGAGUUCUGGGUGGAUGAUGCAGCCAGGUCCUGGAAUAAUCGUGGAACGACAAUGUUAGAGAGAAAAGGAGGAAGAAAACGAAGAGAGAGAGGAAAUAAAGAUAGGAAAAGAGACGAGGAGGAGAGGCCAAUGAAGAGAAGCAAACCGACUUGUCUGAGUCAACCGGUCUAACCACAUGUUUGCCUGCAAGUCGCUAUGCAACCGGAUGGGGCUCGCUCGGAACCGUAAGCAACCUCCGUUAAGCCGCAUUUACACCGAAGAACAAAUCGAUCGGGGCGACGUUUCUCUGUGGAAAGCGACGUUUAUCCUGCGGAUCGAUCGCGAACGAUGCGGCCAGAAACCGCGGACAAAGAGAGACGCCUGUUGUCCGGUGAGCCUAGCCGCUCUCGCAUUUGGGUUAAUUAAUGAAGAGGGUCGAUGGAAACUGGUGUUGGAACAGGCUCUGCAACGAUACACGUGCCCCACCUGCCUUUAUCGUCGUCCAGUCGAAUAAAACGAAGCUACGAUCAGGUAUUUCGCGUAAAUUGAACCAACCAUCGUCGCUUUUCCAAGACAUGUUGCAAAAUUGAAAUAUUGUUCCGAAGAAUAAUAUAUAUAUAUAAGAUAUCGUUCACGCAUUUUCACUGUUUGUAUUCUGUUUACUUAACUGAUCAAUACGACCGAUUCAAGAAGUUGAAGUCGUCUUAAGAGUUUAAACUUAGCUGUUGAAGUCGCGUGCAACGUUAUAAUGUAACUUUUAAUGAGCAUGAUACGAGAGAGAAUCAUUCUCUGAAUUUGAUUUUACCGAUAUCAUUGGAAAAUAAAGGUUUAAUUAAUUUUUUGUAAAGAA